GCUUUCUCAAUGAAGAGCAACGUAGGUAUAAAUCAAAAAGGAAAUGAAAUAUUUCAGCUGUUAGCAGGUUAUAUAAAAAAAUACAUGAAAACGAAGUUUGUAAAUACGAAAAGCAAACAAAGUUUCUAGUGUUGAACCGCCACUGAUGUAAACAGCAAAAAGCAAAAAGAAUACCAUCAACACAAAUUUGAGUAUAAAAGUAUUAAGAUUUUUUUUUAACAAAAUAAAAGUAUCAGAAUUAGUAACAUCUUACAUGUUGUUUCAAUUUUCAACCAUCAGGUAUAAAAAGUAGAUAAUAAAAGAUGUCAUAACUACAUCCAUCAAAUUUGUGCUACCAACACUGCUUUCUCGGUUCUAGGUUACUCUCAGCAAUUGUAGAAGUAAACUCAGCAAGAGAGAAAUGGAAACAGUUUAGGAACUUCAAACAAUUUUGAGCAAAGAAACAUAAUGAAUCCUAGUAGUAUAAGAGACAAUGAGCAUAGCUAUGAAACGAUAAAUGCUACUAUGAAAACAAUUGAGAAACGAAAGUUAAUAUCAUGGUAAAGUUAAGACAAUAAUGAACCAACCUUUUAAGCUAAACGAAGCAGGUGCAGCCAUUCGAUUGUAGCUGCUUUCCAUGAUAAAAUUUUGCAAGUGCUACAGGCUCCAAGUGAGUAAAAGUUUUCACAUACUUCCAUAGUGCCAUUUGUAAAGUUGCAUUUAGUAGGAUGUUUUAAGACAUAUUUUGGAUCACAAUUAGUAGCAUUUCAUGAAUCAGAAAUUGCUUGAAAAUAUUCAUAAUCAAAGGAUGUUUUAAACAAAAUGAAACAGAUGUGCAAAUUCCAUCUAAUUACUUAAAAAUUCCAAUGGAAUAUUGUCCUCAUUGUCAUAUUCAGAAAUUGGAGAAGAAACAACACAAAGUUAAUUUUAAAUUCCAAUCAUAAUGAGAGUUAUUACCUUUUCCAUGCAUUGAUUUA
rnacentral:lncRNA from 1 species